GCCGGGCAUGGUGGCGUACGCCUUUAAUCCCAGCACUCAGGAGGCAGAGGCAGGUGGAUUUCUGAGUUUGAGGCCAGCCUGGUCUACAAAGUGAGUUCCAGGACAGCCAGGGCUAUACAGAAAAACCCUGUCUCAAAAACAAAAACAAAAACAAAAACAAACACGGUUUCCCUAUGUAGCUUUUGUCGUCUUGGAACUCACUCUGUAGAUCCGGCUGGCCUCAAACGCAUAGAUAAUUUCCUGCCUCU
ensembl:misc_RNA Gm27826 predicted gene, 27826